GACGAACGCUGGCGGCGUGCUUAACACAUGCAAGUCGAACGGAAAGGCCCUGCUUUUGUGGGGUGCUCGAGUGGCGAACGGGUGAGUAACACGUGAGUAACCUGCCCUUGACUUUGGGAUAACUUCAGGAAACUGGGGCUAAUACCGGAUAGGAGCUCCUGCUGCAUGGUGGGGGUUGGAAAGUUUCGGCGGUUGGGGAUGGACUCGCGGCUUAUCAGCUUGUUGGUGGGGUAGUGGCUUACCAAGGCUUUGACGGGUAGCCGGCCUGAGAGGGUGACCGGCCAAAUUGGGACUGAGAAACGGCCCAGGCCCCUCGGGGGGGAAGGAGGGGGGAAAUUUGCAAAAGGGGGGGAAGCCUGAUGCGGCAACCCCGGGGGGGGGAGGGGGGCCUUGGGGUUGUAAACCCCUUUCCCCGGGGGGGAAGGGGGGGUGGCGGUAAUGGGUAAAGAAGCACCGGCUAACUACGU
rnacentral:rRNA from 1 species